rnacentral:rRNA from 1 species
AUUGAACGCUGGCGGCGUGCUUAACACAUGCAAGUCGAUCGGUAACGCGGGGGCAACCCUGGCGACGAGAGGCGGACGGGUGAGGAACGCUUGGGAAUCUGCCUAUCAGCGGGGGACAACACGGGGACGCUCGUGCUAAUACCGCAUACGCUCUACGGAGGAAAGGCGGGGGCCGGAAGGCCUGUCACUGACAGAUGGGCCCGAGUGGGAUUAGCUAGUUGGCGGGGUAACGGCCCACCAAGGCGACGAUCCGUAGCUGGUCUGAGAGGACGAUCAGCCACACUGGGACUGAGACACGGCCCAGACUCCUACGGGAGGCAGCAGUGGGGAAUAUUGGACAAUGGGGGAAACCCUGAUCCAGCGACGCCGCGUGGGGGAAGAAGGCCUGCGGGUUGUAAAGCCCUUUCGGUAGGGACGAAAGCUCUCGACCUAACACGUCGGGAGGUUGACUUAACCUACAAAAGAAGCAACGGCUAACCCUGUGCCAGCCGCCGCAGUAACAC